rnacentral:rRNA from 1 species
GAGCGGGCGUAGCAAUACGUCAGCGGCGGACGGGUGAGUAACACGUGGGAAUAUGCCUUUCGGUUCGGAACAACUCGGGGAAACUCGUGCUAAUUCCGGAUACGCCCUUACGGGGAAAGAUUUAUCGCCGAAAGAUUAGCCCGCGUUGGAUUAGCUAGUUGGUGAGGUAAAGGCUCACCAAGGCGACGAUCCAUAGCUGGUUUGAGAGAACGACCAGCCACACUGGGACUGAGACACGGCCCAGACUCCUACGGGAGGCAGCAGUGGGGAAUCUUGGACAAUGGGCGCAAGCCUGAUCCAGCCAUGCCGCGUGAGUGAUGAAGGCCUUCGGGUUGUAAAACUCUUUUGGCGGGGACGAUAAUGACGGUACCCGCAGAAUAAGCUCCGGCUAACUUCGUG